rnacentral:rRNA from 1 species
UACGAGGGGUGCAAGCGUUGCUCGGAAUCAUUGGGCGUAAAGCGAGCGCGGAUGGUCUUGUAAGUCAGGAGUGAAAGCCCUGGGCUCAACCCAGGAAGUGCUUUUGAUACUGCGAGACUUUGAAUGUGGGAGAGGGUGCUAGAAUACCUAGUGUAGUGGUGAAAUACGUAGAUAUUAGGUGGAACACCGGUGGGGAAGCCGGG